UUUCCUUAUCUUCUUCUUCUUUUUCCAUUUCCAAAAGCUCCCGACGCAGCUUCUUCUUCAAAAUCUUCUCCAUCCUCUUCUUUGUUUUCUCAGACAAAAUCGAUCACAAGAUUCGCUGUUAUGAGGUUGAGGAAAGUUAAAAGUUGAUUUUCCUUUAAAUCUAGCGAAGAUGGUGAAGAAAUAAAACCCUAAAUCAAAUUUUGUUGUUAUGCUUUUGUUGCUGUUAAUUGAGAGAUGAUUUCACGAGAAACUUUGUUAUUCUUCAUUAGCUUAGAUUUCAAUUUCGAUUAAGAAUCCUAAGUAAAUCUUCUUUAAAUUUUAAUUUCAGUUGUAAACCCUAAGUAAUUUUUUUUUUAAUUUCAGACACCUCCAUAUUCAGAUAUAUAGGGCUUCUCAAUAAGAUCUUCAGGGAAACUAAUAACUGGUUGUUUGUGAUUUUAAUUUCACUCACCUCUCGGUUUCAAUCUCAAUUCUACACCAUUUUUUGAUGUGUGUGUGGAUCUAAUAACUGGUUGUUUGUGAAUUGUGCUGGAAAACUUAGAGGAGAACUCACAAGAGAAGAAGCCUUGAGGUAGAUAUCACAAGAGGAUACAAUACAACAGAUGUUUCGUUACUGCUGUAAUAGCAGCAAUGAGCGCUCAUGAGUACCAAUUUGAGGUGAAACAAGAGGAGAAGUUUGGUUUUUUUUGGAGCCUCUUGGGAUUGGGUUCAGAACCAGUUAACUGGUGAAAUUCCUAGGUUAAUCCACUGGGAUGAAGUGCUGCAGUAUUUUUGAAGGCCUGUGGAAUAUAUAGGAACAUGAAAAGUUAAUGGAAAAUAAAUCACUAAGCACCCCAUGACACAGACUGAAUGUGUCUUGCUGAUGAACCCAAUGGGUUAAAUGGAAGAGAGUGGAAGGAUCUUCUGUAAUUUUGGACUACUUACCAUCAGCAACGUCAAAAGAAGAAGCAGGCCAAGCGUACAAUGGGGCAGAAAACUUUUCUCGAUGCAAAUCUAAAUUGAUACGUACAUACAUGCGUCUCACUUUGCAAUCCUGCAACACGAAAUCUAUUUGAGAGGCCUGUGAGUCGAUGGCCUACAACAGAGACUGUUGGAGCUGCUGCAAUGAAGUCAAACCCCAUUGGAGCCGCUGCAGACUUUGAUGAGGAUGAGUUCUAAGCUGAACUUGAGUAGUUGGUCAAGAAGCUUGCAAAGAAGUUCCAUGCUUUUCUAGCCUCAGAGGCUGUUAUCAAGCAGAUUCAUUGUCUUCUUGGACCUGGACUUA